GAGGGGUUAAAGUGUGGCACGCCACCUCAGGUGACACCCGGGCAGAAGGCCGCUUCCUUAAUUACACUGUUGCCUCUUACUGAUGUGUCAAUGUGAAUUAACCUACUACCCCCCCUUCACGUGUACAGAAACACACCACUAAUGUGCACGUUGGUGGUUAGCAGCUACCAUGGGGGUGUUUACAAUUCUCCCUGGCUAGCAGCUAUUCAAGUUAGACGGUGUCAAGAGAUGCCAUGUACAGCUCAGCAUCCCGUGUGGCUCAGUUGGUAGAGCAUGGUGUUCGAUUCCCACGGGGGACCAGUACGGGGGGGAAAAAAAUGUAUGAAAUGUAUGCAUUCACUACUGUAUGUCGCUCUGGAUAAGAGCGUCUGCUAAAUGACAAAAAAAAAAGAAGAAAAAAAAAAAGAGAGAGAGAUCAGGUGUUGAGGACAACAACAAAAUAAACGACAGUGACUCUACAUAGAAGUAGAGUAACCGUGGUUACAGAAUCCUGUUGCCACAGCUGCCGUUAUGAGUGUGUGUGUGUGUGUGGGCCUGUCCACUAAAACCCUCACCAGAUGGUCGACACCUCGCCACGUCGCCAUAACAACCCUCACUAGGCCUAAACACACUGCUACAACACACAGACCGACCAAGCUGAGGCUCUGGCUGCCUCGACCGAGACACUAAAGCCCUGUCAUUAAACCAGGCAUCCUGUUAACCAGCGGCGUGUGUUUCUAUGUUUUACAGCGUUCAGACAGUAUGCAUGGACAGGUCAGUGUUGGUGGUUAGCUAUGGACAGGUCAGUGUUGGUGGUUAGCUAUGGACAGGUCAGUGUUGGUGGAUAGCUGUGUAUUAGCUAUGGACAGGUCAGUGUUGGUGGAUAGCUGUGUAUUAGCUAUGGACAGGUCAGUGUUGGUGGAUAGCUGUGUGUUAGCUAUGGACAGGUCAGUGUUGGUGGAUAGCUGUGUAUUAGCUAUGGACAGGUCAGUGUUGGUGGUUAGCUGUGUAUUAGCUAUGGACAGGUCAGUGUUGGUGGAUAGCUGUGUAUUAGCUAUGGACAGGUCAGUGUUGGUGGUUAGCUGUGUAUUAGCUAUGGACAGGUCAGUGUUGGUGGAUAGCUGUGUAUUAGCUAUGGACAGGUCAGUGUUGGUGGAUAGCUGUGUGUUAGCUAUGGACAGGUCAGUGUUGGUGGUUAGCUAUGGACAGGUCAGUGUUGGUGGAUAGCUGUGUAUUAGCUAUGGACAGGUCAGUGUUGGUGGUUAGCUAUGGACAGGUCAGUGUUGGUGGUUAGCUGUGUAUUAGCUAUGGACAGGUCAGUGUUGGUGGAUAGCUGUGUAUUAGCUAUGGACAGGUCAGUGUUGGUGGAUAGCUGUGUAUUAGCUAUGGACAGGUCAGUGUUGGUGGAUAGCUGUGUAUUAGCUAUGGACAGGUCAGUGUUGGUGGAUAGCUGUGUAUUAGCUAUGGACAGGUCAGUGUUGGUGGAUAGCUGUGUGUUAGCUAUGGACAGGUCAGUGCGUGUUCUCG
rnacentral:lncRNA from 1 species